rnacentral:rRNA from 1 species
GAUGAACGCUGGCGGUAUGCUUAACACAUGCAAGUCGAACGGACGCUUCGGAGUUAGUGGCGGACGGUUUAGUAACGCGUGAGAAUCUGGCUUUGUGUUCGGGACAACCACUGGAAACGGUUGCUAAUACCGGAUGUGCCGUGAGGUAAAAGAGAAAUUGCCUGAAGAUGAGCUCACGUCUGAUUAGCUAGUUGGUGAGGUAAAUGCUCAACAAGGCAGCGAUAAGUAGCUGUGCUGAGAGGAUGACCGGCCACACUGGGAAUGAGACACGGCCCAGACGACUCCGCGGGGAAGCAGUGGGGAAUGACGCGCAAUGGGCGAAUGACUGACGGAGGAAUACCGCGCGAGGGAAGCAGGUUCUUGGGUUGUAAACAUCUGUUAGUAGCGAAGAACAAAAUGACGGUACCUAAGGAGAAAGCCACGGCUAACUCCGUG